AUCAUCGGUCCGGUGUUGAUGGGUUAUUAUCCUGUGGUGCUUGUCGUCGCUGAUCACAUUCACCGUCCUCUACACAUCAUCACAAAUUUGACCGAUGUU
ensembl:ncRNA CD4.17 ncRNA